rnacentral:lncRNA from 1 species
GUAAACAGUGCAGCCAGCAGGAAGGUGGGGGAGCCCUCCAAGGGGGCAGCAGCCAGGCUGGAGCAGAGGCGAAGGUGUGGUAGGGUGGGCUUGAGGUGCAGGUUUUGACUGCGCCCUGGGUCUACCCCCGCAGUCUGCACCUGGAAGGCUGGGGUGAUUUGGAAGUGCUAGGGGUGGACAGGACACUUUUUGCAUAGGGAGAAGAGUCCCCAGGCCCUGUUUGGAAGAGGUAGGGGACCGAAGCCAAGGAGUCGCCUCCCUCCCCCUGUUGCUCUCUUUCUCAGGGCGUCUGAGAGGUGCCCCGCGUGGGUGAGUGCUCCCUCCCUCCUGGCGCUGCACCUCCCCCUCCCCGGAACUGCCACCCCCUCAGCCUUGAGCUGCUGAUGCCCUCUGGGUUCUGUUUUCAUUCCAGGCUGUGGAUCCGGUCGUGGGAAGCAGUCCCAGGUGCAGGAGCCUGCAGGGGAAGACUGGCUGAAUGCAAGACUUUGAUGAGACCCCAAGCUCAGAUCUCACAAGGUCCAUGGGACCCAGGGGCUCUCAGCACCCUCCCCAAAACGUUGUCAGUAUCUGGAUUGAUGGUAAGCACCCUAGAGUUCACUAGGGUGGCUCUAAAGCCCUCUGGGAGCCAGGGAUGGGGGUGGGGAGGGAGGACAAAAGAAAGUAUUCCUGGCUUGACCUUGAAUGAGUGCCUUGACCUCCCUGGGCCUCUUCUAUGGAAUGUAGGGGUUGGAUCAUGGUUUCACAGGUCACAACAUCUUAUUGUUCCGUUCCUGCCCCAAAUUAGCAAUAAUGUGAGCAGGAUCAUGACAACAGUGCGCAUCUGCUUCCCCAGGAGUAUAGGGUGAAGCUGAAAGAGAUACAGCUUUCUGUGUGUUGACUCUCCCUGGAGUAAACUUCUAGGGUCUAAAUUGACUCCUCUGGAGACUCCAGACUCCAGGGAGGUGAUUCUGGAACCUGCUUAGAUGGCUACUUAGACAUCAGCCUGACCGGGGUAUCGCAACACUCAGCCCGACCAGUGAGCAACCUGAGGAGGGCUCCGUGAUGGGGAGAGGCUUAGGGGUAGGUAGAAAGAGAGAAGAGUCAGAAGAAGGGUCCUCACAGACCUCCUAGACAUCUCCUGGGGACUCACAGAUACGGCAAAAUGUGUCCUCCUGACCCCAGGAUGCCAAGACGCAUUUGUAUCGAAUCACUGAAGUAUCUGCAGGAGGCCAGGGUCCCAGGUUUCCAAGGACCUUAAGAAGCAGAAGUUGGUGGGGACUGAAUUCUAGCCAAUCAAAAGAAAGGAAAAGCUGGAAUUCCUCUCCCUUGCACCUGCCCUUCUCUGGGAAGCACUUGACUCACUGCUUCUUCCCCUAGUUUUCUCAAAAGGGCCCAAAUGGAAUCUGGGCAUCCCCUGUACCUGGUGGACAGGAAAGGUCAACCUGAAGACCAUCGAUUCCUUUGUGUUGAUGAAUGCCCACUCCAAAGAGCCCCAGCCUAAACACGACCAUGUCUGCUCGUUAAUUCCCUACCCAACCAGGCACUCAACACACAUGUAUUUGUCAAUUGAGUCAGAAGACCAGAACCUUGGGAGGGGACAUGCAGAGACAGCCACAAAUAAAACAAAUUCCCACUGGGCCCAGUGGCCCACACCUGUAAUCCCAGUGGGCUUGGGAGGCUGAGGCAGGAGGAUUGCAAGUUCAAAGCCAGCCUCAGCAAAAGCCAGGUGCUAAGCGACCUAGUCAGACCCUGUCUCUAAAUAAAAUACAAAACAGGGCUGAGGAAUGUGGUUGAGUGCCCUUGAGUUCAAUCCCCGGUACCCCCAAAACAAUUUUUUUAAACUUUUUUAAAUAAAUAAAAUAAAUUCG